AUUGAACGCUGGCGGCAGGCCUAACACAUGCAAGUCGAACGAGUGGCGGACGGGUGAGUAAUGUCUGGGAAACUGCCCGAUGGAGGGGGAUAACUACUGGAAACGGUAGCUAAUACCGCAUACCAUCGGAUGUGCCCAGAUGGGAUUAGCUAGUAGGUGGGGUAACGGCUCACCUAGGCGACGAUCCCUAGCUGGGCUGAGAGGAUGACAAGACACACUUGGACGGAAGAACGGUCCAGACUCCUACGAGAGGCAGCAGGUGGGAAUAUUGCACAUAGGGCGAAGGCCUGAUGCAGCCAUGCAGCGUGUAUGAAGAAGGCCGUCGGGUUGUAAAGGACUUUCAGCGAGGAGGCGUUACUCGCAGAAGAAGCAUCGGCUAACUCCGUGCCAGCAGCCGCGGUAAUUC
rnacentral:rRNA from 1 species